GAGAGAGAGAGAGAGAAAGAGAAAAAGAAACUCCCAUGUAAUCUAUAAUCUUUUUGAAACAAUAAUGUUAUCUUCUAAUAUGUACAAGUUAAGGACCAGUAUAACACUCACAACAAGAAGAUAAUGAAAGAAGCAGGAACAAGGGGUUAUUAAGGUUAUCUGAUGUACCCAACUGAGAAUUGUCAUUCUCCAGUUUAUUCUUGAGUGGAGGAUCACACUCUACCUCCGGUAGGAUGCAGCAAUCUACCAAUAAACACAAACAGAAAGCACUCUGUUGUUGAGUCUACAACCAUUGAAAUGCUAUUUUUUACUGCUACAGACUCGUAUUGCCCAAUCUGAUUCAGGUUAUAAACAUAGUGACACAGUUUUGAAAUGUUAAAAGCAAUUAACAUUGUCGAUACUGUUGUUUGAGCUAGUGAAUUUAUGUGACUUUCCAUACUAAAAGUCUAUAGUUUUAUGUGAUUUUCAUAAUUUUUUCGACUAAGAUAAAAAUGAUUAGCUUACACACUUAUCCCAAGAGAAUAAAGAAAAGAAAAUACAUGCACGCGAACAACGAUUAUUUAGUCUUGACAGAACCUUGCAUUUUAAUUAAACUGACAACAGUACAGUUACAUAUUUAAUAUGGGUACAAGAAAAUUAAUUAAUUAUUUGAAGAUAAAGGUGGCAGAAUGAAAUGACUUUCAUUAAAAGGAAAAGAUCAAGCAAAUUAGGAAAUGAAGUUUAAUGGUGUUUACCUCUGUCACAGCUCUUGGCCCCAUGCAGUCAUCGUGAAGACCCUUUGGAAGUAGUAAACUGAGAGAUCUGCAACAAUUAUUCCUGCUUUGGAAGAGUUUAACAGAUUGAUAACAUGAAGAUCAUGAAAGGGGAUGGAACUGGGCAACCCAUCUUGAGAAAGUUUUGAAGGUCGAGGCCUUGGGAUCAGAAACUAUUGAUGGAGACAUAGGAAGAAGCUCUAGAUUCAGUUGUCAGAGAACAGGAGGUUGUGAAGGUUGUAUGAUGUUGCCCAACUGAGAAUUGUUAUUCUCUUUAUUCUUGAGUUCGGAGGAUCACACUCUUCACUUUCAGUAAGACGUAGCGAUCUGCCAUUAAAUACAGAUAGAAAGCACUCCGUGGUUGAGUCUACCACUAUUGAAAUUCUAUCUUUACUGCCUUAGUCUCAUAUUGUCCAAUGUGAUUCACGUCAUAAACACAGUGACACAAUUUUGAAAAGUUAAAAGCAAUUAACCUUGUAUAUACAUAAGUUUGAGCCUGUGUUUCUAUAUGUGUAUUGUAUCGAAAGCAAAUUUUUAAAUUUA